rnacentral:lncRNA from 1 species
GGACAGAGCAGUGGCCAAGAGCUCAGAGGCAGCGAUGCCUUUGCUGCAGGGUGGGGAUCAGUGAUCUUCUCUGGAAGAAAAGUGUGUACAGCAAUGGAUACUGUGGUGCUCAAAGUGGAUGACUCUUGCCAUUAGAAUCACCAGAAUGUUCACCCAACACACUUCUCUACAAGACCGCAUUUUAAUCAGGGUCAGAAGAAUGGUCACCCUGCACAAAGAACAGGUGCUUUUAGCACUUACAGGCAUGCUGCAUAAUGGAUGGGAGCAAUACCUCUUCAGCCAAAGCAGGCAAUCUUGUUUUCCUACUCAGAAGGUGGACCAGAAAUGUAUCCCAUAAGACUGACUCUUCCUCAGGCUAUUGAAUCAUAGUGUCUGCAUACUAUAGUGAAUGGUGGAUUAACAAGCUAUAAGAUCAAUAAACAGAGCAAUUUCAACUGUCAUGAAGAACUGGAUAGUACUGAAAGGAUUUCUGAAGGACGAACAUCUACAUACCUCCCAGUUUUGGCUGAGAUAGAGUUUAUUUUCUUCACAGUGGCUGGUAUGUAGCCAUGUUUGGAUUUAGGAGAAAAAUGAUGUUGAUAAUGC